CAUCAACUCAAAGAGAACGAACAACAAAAUUGUCGAGGAAGAAGAUGAAGAAUAAAGAGGGACUCUCUCUUUCACUUUUAUCAUCUCCUCUCUUUCUCUUUCUUUCUCUUUCUUUCUUUCUCUUUUCUCUCUC
rnacentral:ribozyme from 13 species